UCGCGUCUUGCGACGGCAGUUUCACUAGAGUUCCCAGCAUUACCUGAUGGCAACUAGUGAUGGGGGUUGCGCUCGUUGCGGGACUUAACCCAACACCUCACGGCACGAGCUGACGACAGCCAUGCACCACCUGUGCAGGCUCCGAAGAGCACCGGCUUUCGCCGGUUUCACCCUGCAUGUCAAGCCCAGGUAAGGCUCUUCGCGUCGCUUCGAAUUAAGCCGCAUGCUCCGCCGCUUGUGCGGGGCCCCGUCAAUUCCUUUGAGUUUUAGCCUUGCGGCCGUACUCCCCAGGCGGGGCACUUAAUGCGUUAGCUACGGCACGGAUCCCGUUGAUGAGGACCCACACCUAGUGCCCAACGUUUACGGCGUGGACUAC
rnacentral:misc_RNA from 1 species